CCUACGGGUGGCAGCAGUGAGGAAUAUUGGUCAAUGGACGAGAGUCUGAACCAGCCAAGUAGCGUGAAGGAGGACUGCCCUAUGGGUUGUAAACUUCUUUUAUAUGGGAAUAAAAUGUGGCACGUGUGGGAUGUUGUGUGUACCAUAUGAAUAAGGAUCGGCUAACUCCGUGCCAGCAGCCGCGGUAAUACGGAGGAUCCGAGCGUUAUCCGGAUUUAUUGGGUUUACAGGGAGCGUAGGUGGUUUGUUAAGUCCGUUGUGAAAGUUUGCGGCUCAACCGUAAACUUGCAGUUGAAACUGGCAGUCUUGAGUACAGUAGAGGUGGGCGGAAUUCGUUGUGUAGCGGU
rnacentral:rRNA from 1 species